GGAGCUGCAGGGUGGAGCAGAGCGAGCAGCGCCCGGCGGGCAGGUAUGUAGGAUGUGGGGGCAGCCCCGGCGCCCCCUUCUGCGGAGCGCUGGGGUGAAACAGCACCGGCAAGGAGAGUACACCGGUCCCUGUGCCGAAGAAGGCAAAAUAGAAGGGAUGGGAGGUGGGAGCUUUUUCUCUCGAGUUACCGAAAAACUGCAAACCAGAUACAUGUGUCAUUUGCCAAAGAUUACGUUUGUAAGAGGCUAAAGAGCUACAACACCAUGAAAAUAUUCCAGCCACAGUUUUUGGGAGUCAAAGAGCAGCUACAAGUCUUCUUCAAGCACUAUUUGGGUUUGUGGGGUUUGUUUUGGUUUUUUCUUCUCCAGGUCUUUUUCUUGCCCUGUAUUUUAUUCCCCUAAUCUUUAAUUCAGUGUGAUAACUCCGGCAAAAGCACUGUGUUGCCCAAGAAUAUUUUAACAGUAAACACAAAAGAAUAUAAAAUUACGUAUUUAAACCUCGAGAACAGUCCAAGGUUUUUAACUUGUCCAUUUUCUCCCUGCAUUUCAUUAUUUCCGUCUGCAUAACUCUGUGGAUAAUUCUUAAGGGAUAUUUAAUUUUCGGUUUGAUUCCUGAAUCAGGGAAAGCUUUUAUUACACAGGGGCACCUAUUACCUAGGCAGGUGUGACGGCUCUCUUAUGCAGACUGACAUAUAAAAUAAUAGUGACAUUUAGGAUCUAAGAAACCACACGUCUUAACGUUAAAGUUGGCAGCGAGUGUAAAAAUAUUCCGUUCUGAAAAAUUCUGGCAGUGGCAGCUGAACACGCCAAGACUGGUGGAUGCUCUAACACUCUCGAUACAGGCUCUCUGUGGAUGGUAUUCCACAGCUACAGGAAUAAAUAAAUAAAAUCUCCAGCUUUUAACUAAGGCGAUUUAAUUCAGACCUCUCCACCCAGCGUAGCCGCCGUGGGAGAUGUAUACUCCAGUGUUUACUCGGAUCCCUUUCUGCCACUAUUCUAUCUUGCCUUUCCCUUACGGCACCAGCGAAGCUUUCUGGUCCCCGCAGCCAUGUUUCCCGGUUCCACGUUCUCUGCCCAACCUCCGCCCGUCCAAGAAACUUCUGAAAGUUCAUCGGAAGGGGAACUCUCUACACCUCGGUGGUUAAUGCCACUGUUUUAACGCUACCUCUCCCCGGGCUGCGCAGGCUUCUCCAAGAUCUAUCUUUAGAGGGAGUUCCCCGAAGUCUCCGGAGGGAACAUAGCUGCGGAUUUCAAACCCGGUCCGGUUCCAGUCGCACAAUGCCUGCUGCAAGAGAAAGGGGAGAUAACUCACCAGAGUUUCAGGAAUGCGCAGGUAGCCCAAAGGUCUCAGCGGUGCUCCUUUCCUCUGCGGAAUAUUAUCUUGCAUCGAGGCAGUUCCCAGUCUAUAUUUGACGUUACCAUUUAUGCUAUCUCGAACACGAGACUCUCCCAUAGACAUUUUUUUCCAGGGUUUUCAAGAAAAUUUCUCGAUGCCACAAUGUUAUGAUGGAAGGAUGCUGAAAUGACAGGCCUCGUAGACGCUUGUCUUAAUCAUCGGCUUCUUAAUUUAGUUUUAGUGCUGUGGUUUGUAUGUGUGUGCGUGUGUGUCUGCGCGUGUGUGCGCACAAGAGAAGUCUCUGACAACCUGCAGCUUCCUAAUGACUGACGAGGCAGGGCUGCUGCAGCAAAGUAACACUUCCCUGGUGUGAAGACCUCUUACUGGGAAGUUUAGUUCACUACUGUUCUCGCAAUCCUAAUCGUAUAACCUGUAACCAAAGCCCAAGGAAGAAAGAUACAGCAUGCUAAAUAGACUAACUUCUAAUCACCAAACGUUAGCACCACUACCAGCUGUUGCUGAUUAAUUGGAAGUUGGCUGUAGAUGGACAUCUAAACUUAGAUCCACAAAUGCGACUAGAAGGGUGGACCGCUGAAUGCUUCUUCCUCUCCCUCUUUGCCUCCAUUCAUCCACCCACCUUCAGUCCCAUUCACCCCUCUUCAGAAUGUUUGACUACCUCCUUCUCUUUGUUCGCGCACCGCUCAGUCCCCAUUCGCCGUGCCUUGGCAGCAGGGUAUCAGUGUCUGCUGGAUAGCCCUUACCUUAAUUCCCCAGGUAACCUGGACUAACUAAGGUAGGCUUAGAGUCAACGGGGAAUAGACUUAUACAUGCAUACAUGCAGACGUUUACUCUACCGAAUGUGAUAUUACUGACUGCUAAACCGAAGUGUCCCGACUAGUUUAAUGGAAGCAUGAUGCCAUCGAAGCGUGGUUAUUAAAUACCCUUUCUU